GAGGCAAUAGAUAAAUGCCUGUAUUUGGUAUAUAUUUUCAAAGCAAGUGAUGAUUUAUCACAGGGUUUGUUAUACAGUUUGACAGUGCCAAUAAUUGGUUUUCGCUACUUCAUUUUCAAAGUGAUCUCAAUGCUUUGCAGUGAUUGAAGGAGGAAGGAUCCUAUAACAUUUUUCCUUUUCACUGCUUUCGUUAAAGAUUUCUUCAGAGCUCCUGGUUGCUUUUGUUGCCUUCAUCGUGGUCAGGUGUAAAAUGUAUGUUUGACGUGGUCUCAGUGAUGAACAAACCGGUCCCCGUCCCGGCGGCUCGUCUUAUGUUGUAAAUUUAUCAGAAGUGAAAAACCUUGUCGAACGCCCAAGAGUAUGUGACAAGACAGAUCACACACUGCUGGUAAGUCAAGUCAUUCUCACUUGGUAAAAUCAUAAGGAGAUCAGUCAGAGUCACUCUAUUUUGCGAGAAUGCUCCAACCACAUGGGAUUAGCAUAGAUUUCAAGAAAUAUUCAAAUCGAAUGUAUUUACCUCAAAGGUAUACACUCCAAAGAGUUUGUUAGGGUCUUUCCCUCCCAAUUCAGUUCCAGCCUAGAAAAUAUUUUAGAACAUGGAUUCUAUCUAUGAAUUGUACAAAACUUGUGACUCCUCAAUUGUUCUCAAAAUAAUUUUAACUCGUCGCGCCUCAAAGUUAUUAAACUCGUCAGGUUCCCACAAUGAAUGUCAUCACAAUAUUCGUCGCACAUUAACUUAUCACCCUUAAAAGGUCUUACAGUCAUGGGAUUAUAUGGUUCAUAGUUCACAACUCAAUACACAUAACAUCUCAAUAAACUUGUGUGAUCUAAUAAUUUAGCACUACUCAACUUGUCACUGACACAUAGUUUAUCACACUUCCAUAAUCCCAAGACAACACCUUAUCACGCCUCAAGCAUUAUAUACAUGUCACACAAUAACAAUAUUAAUAUGUUAUGUUCAUAUGAUUAAACCCCUCAAAUAAUUUCACAUAAUCAUAUCGAAAUCAAAAGAAUCAAAAUCAUAGGUCAAAAACAUGAAAACACCAAGAGUACUCAAUUUUAUCAACCAAUUCACAUUGAACCAUCAAUUGAUCCAUCAAACACAAUAAUCUCGUAAUUAUAAUCAUAAAGGAAGAGUCACAAUACAAUAAACAUCCCAAAAUAAAUCUAAAUUUGAUCCUCUAAGGAUCCUUACACACGUUCAUUCUAACCCCAAUUGCGACAAACACAUCUCUUACCUCUAAGCAGGCUCAAGUGUAUAAUUUGAUAGUGAUAGCGACAUCUCUAGCGGUUCCCUAAUAUUCCUUCAGUUUUUCCUCUGAUUGCUCUAUUAAGAUUUUCAAGUGUUAGAGAGAAGAAUGGAUUGAAGCCUCCAUUUCAAUGUCUCUGUGCCAGGGAUAUUUUUCUCACCCCAGACAUUAUUUUGCAAGUCUCAACAAUGCGGAUGUACGAAAAUGAGUUCCAAACCUAGUGUUCAAAUUUCACGAUGAUCUAGCAGUUACUGAGUUCAAGAUAAUAGUUUUAAUGAGAUAGAUUAUGGUGUAUGCUGGAAAAAGCUACGUGCGAGGGACAUUUCUCUCACCACAGACAUUAUUUCUCAAAUUCCAAGGGUUGGGAUGUGCAAAAAUGUGUUAUGAGCCAAUUGUUCAAACUUUACGAUGAUCCCACAGUCCAGGAUCGUAGUUUUACUGACGGGUUUGAGUGUAUGCAAGAAAAAGAGAGAGUUUGGGGAGAGGAAGAAAGGAAAAUGAAAUUGAGAGAAAGAGAUAGCAUAGAGACGUAUCGUAAAUGUAA